rnacentral:tRNA from 1 species
GCGCGCGAAGCAUCGUGGGAUGCAGCGGCUUCUAACCCCGACGUAGGCAGGUUCGACUCCUGUCGCGCGCCCCA